rnacentral:lncRNA from 12 species
GAUAACUCAUUCAAGAAGCCAGAUUUGGGAGAAGAAGACUGAAGAUAUAAGGGACAGGGGGAUGAGGAAGCAUACAUAAUCUCAGAAGAUUCUGAGUUGGAAAGGACCCACAAAGCUCAUCAGAAGUAUUCUGGUGAAGGAGGGGCCCUCACCUCACGUUCCUAAGUUGAAAUCGUCAAAGGCAGUCCCUUUCUCACAGAGGUAGAAGAUGCAGAGUUUUCCCAGCCUGCUCAGAGGCUGCCUGCUCACCAGAAACCCCCCAUGAAGAGGAACCUUCCUUCUGCCCUGC